AAUGCAGAACUCCAGAUACCAGAUGUCCAAAGCAACGGAGCAGCCGAAAACUAGAUCUUACGUUAUAGAAGAUAUAUUCUCGAAACGCCGGAAGUGUGCCAGACUCACAAUUCCGUGCAGGCGACAGCGACACCGUUUUUUCACUGUAUUUUCGAUAAUAAACAAAACGGGCAGCAUGGCGUAAUCUCGUGUUUGAAUCUGCGGCACUCAUGAGGUCAUCGAUUUCCAAGUGUUCUAAUAUUCCUUCGAUACAAUCGAUGUUCAAAUCGGUUCAGAAAAUGUCUAAUGCUCAAACUUGUACUGAUGUUGUUUCUGUUCUAUCGAUCUGAGAGCUAACCUGCAACUGAUUCUUCCGAUCAAUUGGUCACUUGCUACGACCGCUUCGAAAUGGAAAGGAAAGGAAAAGAGCAAAGAAAUCGAGUGCAAAGGACAUGUCAUUAGGACAUUCAUAAACAAUGAGUAAUUAAGCAUGCCAGACAAUGUUCCUAAUUGAAGCAAAGAUUUGGUUUCUCAUUAUGCUGCAGUGCCAUACUAAACAGAAGAGAACAGAUUGAAAUAUGAGAAAAAGCAUCAUCACACAUGGAAAAUUAUAACAUUUAUGAAAUAUUUAUUCGCAAUGACAAGAAUGAUUUGGCCGUCGCUGUUUCUCGUCAACGUAUUUUAAAUAGUCGAUAUUUUCCGCCGUCAUAAAUGUUUUGUUUCGGUCGAAACGAGAGUAUCGCUAGAUAUUUAUUUAUUUAUUUAUUUAUUUAUUUAUUACGGAGCCUACAUUUAUGCCAAUAUGUGUUCCCAGCAAGCUGAGAACAUGCUGGUCAGAUACCCAAUACGGCAUAAAUUCCGCCCAUGGUGCGUCUUUUGCAAAGAGAAUACAGUCAGGGGAGGGAUGAUAUAAAAGUGAGGCUUUCAUACCAGAAUUGGGUCCGGAAAACCAUGGUAAAACCGGUCUGAUUCUGGAAAACCAGGGGAAAUACAAUGAUGAUGAGUUUUUGCAAUUAAAGUACGUUAACAUCAAUGAGAAAAAUCAAAUGAAAAGUCAAACUUAAUCUAAAUUGGAUAAGAAAUUUCAUAACAAUGGUUCGAGUAUUUUACUAUUUGAAAAAUAUCUAAAAAUUUACUGCGUGGAACGUAACAGAUGCUUUAGGUUAGUUUUAAACGCGACUAGAGAUUUAGAAUUUCUAAUUUCGACCGAUAUACUAUUCCAAAAAUUGAUUGCAGAGAAACUAAAUGCGCGAGUAUCAAAUGCAGUACGCGGAUUGAAAUUCAUGCGAAGAUUAUCUGGAUAACGCGACGAUUCACCAUUAUGAACAAACAUGCGAUUCAGAUACUCAGGCGAACAAUUUGACAACUGCUUGAAUAUCAAGACUGCUGAUUGCAGUUUUGCUCUGCUCUCAGGAGUCAAUCCACUCAAACGCUCACGAUAUUCAGUAAC